rnacentral:sRNA from 1 species
GUUUCCGGAUGUGACGUCCCAACACAGCUUUGGCGCUUUUUUGAAUGUAAACACUUUGAAGAAAUACUCAGGUUUUUAUCGUUAAAAUGAGUGGGAAAAGCAAGGGACGCAUGUGUGUAGUAGAGGCAGACGGACGAUGUAUCGGAUUUUGGUAUCCCUACGAAGAAGCGAUUGGUUCCUGGAUCGGUCCCCUCCAUUUAUCCAAAGAGGAAGAGAGACAGCUGAAUGAGGCGUUCAUUGCGUGUCCGAGUCCUUCCUUGCCUGCGCCAACACAGGAACGCGGGGCUCACGCAAAGCGCGAAAAACUGAGGAUUUUGUCAGAACUGCUGCAAGAAAACAACAUUCCAUCUUGA